UACGUAGGGGGCAAGCGUUGUCCGGAAUUAUUGGGCGUAAAGCGCGUGUAGGCGGCCAGAUAAGUCCGCUGUGAAAACUCGAGGCUCAACCUCGAGAUGUCGGCGGAAACCGUCUGGCUAGAGUCCGGAAGAGGAGAGUGGAAUUCCUGGUGUAGCGGUGAAAUGCGCAGAUAUCAGGAAGAACACCCGUGGCGAAGGCGGCUCUCUGGGACGGUACUGACGCUGAGACGCGAAAGCGUGGGGAGCGAACAGG
rnacentral:rRNA from 1 species